ACAAUAGAACCCUGGUAGUCCACGCCCUAAACCGAUGCGAACUGGAGUGUUGGGUACAGUUACGGUUACGUCAGUGUCGAAGCUAACGCGUUAAGUUCGCCGCCUGGGGGAGGUACGGUCGCAAGACUGAAAACUACAAAGGAAGUUGACGGGGGGCCCGGCACAAGCGGUGGGGGUAUGUGGUUUAAUUCGAUGCAACGCGAAGAACCUUACCUGGCCUUGUACAUCUGUCGAAUCCUGCAGAGAUGCGGGGAGUGCCGCAAGGAACGACAAGACAGGUGCUGCAUGGCUGUCGUCAGCUCGUGUCGUGAGAUGUUGGGGUUAAGUCCCGCAACGAGCGCAACCCUUGUCCUUAGUUGCCAGCACGUAAUGGUGGGGAACUCUAAGGAGACUGCCGGUGACAAACCGGGAGGAAGGUGGGGGAUGACGUCAAGUCCUCAUGGCCCCUUACGGGCCAGGGGCUACACACGUACUACAAUGGGUCGGUACAGAGGGUUGCGAAGCCGCGAGGUGGAGCCAAUCCCAGGAAAGCCCGAUCCCCGAGUCCGGGAUUGGAGUCUGC
rnacentral:rRNA from 1 species